rnacentral:rRNA from 1 species
CGUACUAAGCAAUACUAUACCUCUAUAGAAAAUUUUAUGUUAAAACUAGUAACAAGAAGACAGACCUUCUCUUAAAUGUAAACGUAAAUCAUAAGGACAAACCACUGAUAUUUAACGCUCAAGAACCAGAAGUAAUAACCAACCAAGAAAACUUUACUUUAAUUAACGUUAACCUAACACAAGAGCAUUUCAAGAAAGAUUAAAAGAAAAAGAAGGAACUCGGCAAACUUUAACCUCGCCUGUUUACCAAAAACAUCACCUCUUGAUAAUAAUGAGAGGCCCAGCCUGCCCAGUGACCCAGUUCAACGGCCGCGGUAUCCUAACCGUGCGAAGGUAGCGUAAUCACUUGUUCUUUAAAUAAGGACUAGUAUGAACGGCAUCACGAGGGUUAUGCUGUCUCCUUUUUCCGAUCAGUGAAACUAAUUUCCCCGUGAAGAAGCGGGGAUAAAAUUAUAAGACGAGAAGACCCUAUGGAGCUUCAAACAACACAACAAAUGCCAAACAACUUAAAAAUUUCAUAACUCCAAAUUUACUCAGCAUUAUGAUUGUUAGUUUUAGGUUGGGGUGACCGCGGAGCAAAACACAACCUCCACAUUGAAAGAAUUUUAUUCUAAGCCAAGAACCACAACUCAAAGCAUCUAUAUAUUGACAUUAAUUGACCCAAUAAACUUGAACAACGAACCAAGUUACCCUAGGGAUAACAGCGCAAUCUACUUCAAGAGCCCCUAUCGACAAGUAGGUUUACGACCUCGAUGUUGGAUCAGGGUCUCCAAGUGG